UUAACACAACAUUAUCAUAUCUUUAUCAAAUUAACCUCUAGUCUAAGGCAAUGGCGAUGAAUUCUGAGAAGACUCUUCUGGCUACAAUCAUUAUAUUUAUUCUAGUUUAAUCUCCGGCUGUGCCCAGCAACGCCGAUGGAUUAACUCGUCGAGAACUUGGGUUUCAGGAACCAAAAUGUGAAAACUGCAACUGUUGCCAACCAAAUACGCCGUCGUGUUGCGUUUGCGCUUGUGCAAUUCCGUUUUCGGCCGCCGUGGUCCAGUCGUGAUGGAAUAACAAUUAAGCAAAAUGACGAGAAGAGACGUUGUGUGAUGAUUUCUAAAUAAGAAUGUAAUAAGAAAAUAAUUGCUCCUGCAUUAAUGUUUUUGGAAAUAUGUUUCGGGUGAUUUGAAUUUUUGUUUGUGUGAAUAAUAUUGCUCCUGUUUUGGUUGGAGCUUCGUUUUCACCUUUGUUAAAAGUUUCAUUCGCCAUGUACAUUAUUUAAAUUUCUUAUUGUUAAGUUUUUUUGUUCAUUUGUACUA